rnacentral:snoRNA from 1 species
CCCUCCUACGAAGGUAUGUCGGUGGUUUUUUGUCCUUGGACACAUAAGAAUUGGAAGCAAAAAGAUGUGGACUUGGAGAAGUCUAGAACCCACUUGCUCCCCGCAGGCUCAAGAUCAUCCUUUCCCAUGCAG